AAUUAGUCUUGCAAAAACCCUUCUCAAAUUCUCACCCGUCUUCGCCGAGGGCUAGGAUUUGCACAGCCGCCGCCAUUCAACGACUGCGGGUUUAUAGUUUUCUUUCUGAGACUGAGACUGCUGCUUGCAAUCAAACAAGAGAAUGCAUUAGGCCAUCCAGCCAACCUCUGAUUUACUCGCUGCGGUAUUGAAGAAAAACCUUUCUUCUUUGGGAUCAUCAUGGAUCUUGGUUGACCAUCAGCUUCAAGCACAACUGCAAGAGAAUCAAUUGAAGGGUUAACACUAAGAUCUGCCAUCAAACAGAGUUUACUUCUACUUGUGCAGUCCUGCAGGAGUAAAAGGUACAAGCCGUACAGCUCAUUAUCAUGUGCAUCUUGAUGAGAAUUGGUUUACAACAGAGAACAAGCAAUCUCUGCUACAUGUAAUGUACUUCUUUUUGUGAAAAUUUAUGUGUAUAUAUUCUUGUUUCCUUCUGCUACAAGCAGGUAAGAGAAUGCCAUGCUUUCUCUUCUAACCCAAGAGCAAAAUUCAGUCUUGUGUUGUGUAGUGUGUAUGCCAAGCAAAUCUUCACAGAAAUUGAUGUAUUUGAUUUUUUUAUU